rnacentral:rRNA from 1 species
AAUAGAUACCCAGGUAGUCCACGCCGUAAACGAUGGAUACUAGCUGUUGGGGGCGACCUCAGUGGCUAAGCGAAAGUGAUAAGUAUCCCACCUGGGGAGUACGUUCGCAAGAAUGAAACUCAAAGGAAUUGACGGGGGCCCGCACAAGCGGUGGAGCAUGUGGUUUAAUUCGAUGAUACGCGAGGAACCUUACCAAGGCUUAAAUGCAGACUGACCGUUUUGGAAACAGAACUUUCGCAAGACAGUCUACAAGGUGCUGCAUGGUUGUCGUCAGCUCGUGCCGUGAGGUGUCAGGUUAAGUCCUAUAACGAGCGCAACCCUGUUGUUAGUUGCCAGCGAGUAGUGUCGGGAACUCUAACAAGACUGCCAGUGCAAACUGUGAGGAAGGUGGGGAUGACGUCAAAUCAUCACGGCCCUUACGCCUUGGGCUACACACGUGCUACAAUGGCCGGUACAGAGAGCAGCCACCUCGCGAGGGGGAGCGAAUCUACAAAGCCGGUCACAGUUCGGAUCGGAGUCUGCAACUCG